rnacentral:tRNA from 1 species
ACUUUUUUAGUAUAACAAAUUAUAUUUGACUUCCAAUCAAAAGAUCUUUAUUAAGAAAAAGUA